UACGAAGGGGGCGAGCGUUGUUCGGAUUUACUGGGCGUAAAGGGCGCGUAGGCGGAUAGGUAAGUCCGUGGUGAAACCUCGCAGCUUAACUGCAGAACUGCCAUGGAUACUAUUUAUCUUGAAUGUCGUGGAGGUUAGCAGAAUAUGUCAUGUAGCGGUGAAAUGCUUAGAUAUGACAUAGAAUACCCAUUGCGAAGGCAGCUAACUACGCGAUAAUUGACGCUGAUGCACGAAAGCGUGGGGGAUCAAACAGG
rnacentral:rRNA from 1 species